rnacentral:pre_miRNA from 1 species
GUUGUACUCCCUCCGUUCAGAAUUACUUGUCACAAAAAUGGAUGUAUGUACAACUAAAAUACAUAUAGAUACAUUCAUUUCUUGGAUGAGUAAUUCCGAACGGAGGGAGUACUUG